AGUGAACGCUGGCGGUAGGCCUAACACAUGCAAGUCGAACGGCAGCACAGUAAGAGCUUGCUCUUACGGGUGGCGAGUGGCGGACGGGUGAGGAAUACAUCGGAAUCUACUUUUUCGUGGGGGAUAACGUAGGGAAACUUACGCUAAUACCGCAUACGACCUACGGGUGAAAGCAGGGGAUCUUCGGACCUUGCGCGAUUGAAUGAGCCGAUGUCGGAUUAGCUAGUUGGCGGGGUAAAGGCCCACCAAGGCGACGAUCCGUAGCUGGUCUGAGAGGAUGAUAAGCCACACUGGAACUGAGACACGGGCCAGACUCCUACGGGAGGCAGCAGUGGGGAAUAUUGGACAAUGGGCGCAAGCCUGAUCCAGCCAUACCGCGUGGGUGAAGAAGGCCUUCGGGUUGUAAAGCCCUUUUGUUGGGAAAGAAAAGCAGCAGGUUAAUACCCCGCUGUUCUGACGGUACCCAAAGAAUAAGCACCGGCUAACUUCGUG
rnacentral:rRNA from 1 species